rnacentral:rRNA from 1 species
GGCUCAGAUUGAACGCUGGCGGCAGGCCUAACACAUGCAAGUCGAGCGGUAGCACAGAGAGCUUGCUCUCGGGUGACGAGCGGCGGACGGGUGAGUAAUGUCUGGGAAACUGCCUGAUGGAGGGGGAUAACUACUGGAAACGGUAGCUAAUACCGCAUAACGUCGCAAGACCAAAGUGGGGGACCUUCGGGCCUCAUGCCAUCAGAUGUGCCCAGAUGGGAUUAGCUAGUAGGUGGGGUAAUGGCUCACCUAGGCGACGAUCCCUAGCUGGUCUGAGAGGAUGACCAGCCACACUGGAACUGAGACACGGUCCAGACUCCUACGGGAGGCAGCAGUGGGGAAUAUUGCACAAUGGGCGCAAGCCUGAUGCAGCCAUGCCGCGUGUAUGAAGAAGGCCUUCGGGUUGUAAAGUACUUUCAGCGAGGAGGAAGGCGUUAAGGUUAAUAACCUUGGCGAUUGACGUUACUCGCAGAAGAAGCACCGGCUAACUCCGUGCCAGCAGCCGCGGUAAUACGGAGGGUGCAAGCGUUAAUCGGAAUUACUGGGCGUAAAGCGCACGCAGGCGGUCUGUCAAGUCGGAUGUGAAAUCCCCGGGCUCAACCUGGGAACUGCAUUCGAAACUGGCAGGCUAGAGUCUUGUAGAGGGGGGUAGAAUUCCAGGUGUAGCGGUGAAAUGCGUAGAGAUCUGGAGGAAUACCGGUGGCGAAGGCGGCCCCCUGGACAAAGACUGACGCUCAGGUGCGAAAGCGUGGGGAGCAAACAGGAUUAGAUACCCUGGUAGUCCACGCCGUAAACGAUGUCGACUUGGAGGUUGUGCCCUUGAGGCGUGGCUUCCGGAGCUAACGCGUUAAGUCGACCGCCUGGGGAGUACGGCCGCAAGGUUAAAACUCAAAUGAAUUGACGGGGGCCCGCACAAGCGGUGGAGCAUGUGGUUUAAUUCGAUGCAACGCGAAGAACCUUACCUACUCUUGACAUCCAGAGAACUUAGCAGAGAUGCUUUGGUGCCUUCGGGAACUCUGAGACAGGUGCUGCAUGGCUGUCGUCAGCUCGUGUUGUGAAAUGUUGGGUUAAGUCCCGCAACGAGCGCAACCCUUAUCCUUUGUUGCCAGCGGUUAGGCCGGGAACUCAAAGGAGACUGCCAGUGAUAAACUGGAGGAAGGUGGGGAUGACGUCAAGUCAUCAUGGCCCUUACGAGUAGGGCUACACACGUGCUACAAUGGCAUAUACAAAGAGAAGCGACCUCGCGAGAGCAAGCGGACCUCAUAAAGUAUGUCGUAGUCCGGAUUGGAGUCUGCAACUCGACUCCAUGAAGUCGGAAUCGCUAGUAAUCGUAGAUCAGAAUGCUACGGUGAAUACGUUCCCGGGCCUUGUACACACCGCCCGUCACACCAUGGGAGUGGGUUGCAAAAGAAGUAGGUAGCUUAACCUUCGGGAGGGCGCUUACCACUUUGUGAUUCAUGACUGGGGUGAAGUCGUAA